CCUACGGGCGGCAGCAGUGGGGAAUAUUGGACAAUGGGGGGAACCCUGAUCCAGCCAUGCCGCGUGUGUGAAGAAGGCCCUCGGGUUGUAAAGCACUUUCAGUGAGGAAGAACGCCUGGUGGUUAAUACCCAUCAGGAAAGACAUCACUCACAGAAGAAGCACCGGCUAACUCCGUGCCAGCAGCCGCGGUAAUACGGAGGGUGCGAGCGUUAAUCGGAAUUACUGGGCGUAAAGCGCGCGUAGGUGGCUUGAUAAGCCGGUUGUGAAAGCCCCGGGCUCAACCUGGGAACGGCAUCCGGAACUGUCAAGCUAGAGUGCAGGAGAGGAAGGUGGAAUUCCCGGUGUAGCGGUGAAAUGCGUAGAGAUCGGGAGGAAUACCAGUGGCGAAGGCGGCCUUCUGGACUGACACUGACACUGAGGUGCGAAAGCGUGGGUAGCAAACAGGAUUAGAUACCCCUGUAGUC
rnacentral:rRNA from 1 species